rnacentral:rRNA from 1 species
UACGGAGGGUGCAAACGUUGCUCGGAAUCAUUGGGCGUAAAGCGCACGUAGGCGGCCUGAUAAGUCGGGUGUGAAAGCCCUGGGCUCAACCCAGGAAGUGCACUCGAAACUGUCAGGCUUGAAUAUGGAAGAGGGUCGCGGAAUUCCCGGUGUAGAGGUGAAAUUCGUAGAUAUCGGGAGGAACACCAGUGGCGAAGGCGGCGACCUGGGCCAAUAUUGACGCUGAGUGCGAAAGCGUGGGGAGCAAACAGG